CCUACCGAUUGGGUGUGCUGGUGAAGCGCUCGGAUUGGUCGCGGGCCUGCGGGUCUCCUGCAGCCCGAGACCGAGAAGUUCGUUGAACCCUCCCACCUAGAGGAAGGAGAAGUCGUAACAAGGUU
rnacentral:rRNA from 1 species